rnacentral:rRNA from 1 species
GCUACGGGAGGCAGCAGUGGGGAAUAUUGGGCAAUGGGCGCAAGCCUGACCCAGCAACGCCGCGUGAAGGAAGAAGGCUUUAGGGUUGUAAACUUCUUUUAAGAGGGAAGAGCAGAAGACGGUACCUCUUGAAUAAGCCACGGCUAACUACGUGCAAGCAGCCGCGGUAAUACGUAGGUGGCAAGCGUUGUCCGGAUUUAAUGGGUGGAAAGGGCGUGCAGCCGGGAAGACAAGUCAGAUGUGAAUUCCCGCGGCUAAAUCGCGGAACUGCAUUUGAAACUGUUUUUCUUGAGUACCGGAGAGGUCAUCGGAAUUCCGUGUGUAGCGGGGAAAUGAGUAGAUAUAAGGAAGAACACCAGGGGCGAAGGCGGAUGACUGGACGGCAACUGACGGUGAGGCGCGAAAGCGUGGGGAGCAAACAGGAUUAGAUACCCGGGUAGUC